AACGCGUAUAGAAUCUGCCCUGUACUGGGGAAUAGCCCAGAGAAAUUUGGAUUAAUGCCCCAUGGUAUGUAUUAGCGGCAUCGCUUAUACAUUAAAGGCUACGGUACAGGAUGACUAUGCGUCCCAUUAGUUAGUUGGUAAGGUAACGGCUUACCAAGGCAGCGAUGGGUAGGGGCCCUGAGAGGGGGAUCCCCCACACUGGUACUGAGACACGGACCAGACUCCUACGGGAGGCAGCAGUGAGGAAUAUUGGACAAUGGGCGGGAGCCUGAUCCAGCCAUGCCGCGUGCAGGAAGACGGUCCUAUGGAUUGUAAACUGCUUUUGUACGGGAAGAACAAGGGGCACGUGUGCCCCUCUGACGGUACCGUAAGAAUAAGGAUCGGCUAACUCCGUGCCAGCAGCCGCGGUAAUACGGAGGAUCCGAGCGUUAUCCGGAAUCAUUGGGUUUAAAGGGUCCGUAGGCGGGCCAUUAAGUCAGGGGUGAAAGUCUGCGGCUCAACCGUAGAAUUGCCCUUGAUACUGGUGGUCUUGAGUUAUGGUGAAGUAACUAGAAUAUGUAGUGUAGCGGUGAAAUGCAUAGAUAUUACAUAGAAUACCGAUUGCGAAGGCAGGUUACUAACCAUAUACUGACGCUGAUGGACGAAAGCGUGGGGAGCGAACAGGAUUAGAUACCCUGGUAGUCCACGCCGUAAACGAUGGAUACUAGCUGUCCGGAUGCAAAUCUGGGCGGCCAAGCGAAAGUGAUAAGUAUCCCACCUGGGGAGUACGUCCGCAAGGAUGAAACUCAAA
rnacentral:rRNA from 1 species